AAAUAAAUGCUUCCGUAGGUGACCUGCGGAAGGAUCAUUACUGAGUGAGGGCCCUCUGGGUCCAACCUCCCACCCGUGUUUAUUGUACCUUGUUGCUUCGGCAGGCCCGCCUCACGGCCGCCGGGGGGCUUCUGCCCCCGGGCCCGCGCCUGCCGGAGACAAUCUUGAACGCUGUCUGAAGAAUGCAGUCUGAGCGAUUAAGCAAAAUUAGUUAAAACUUUCAACAACGGAUCUCUUGGUUCCGGCAUCGAUGAAGAACGCAGCGAAAUGCGAUAAUUAAUGUGAAUUGCAGAAUUCAGUGAAUCAUCGAGUCUUUGAACGCACAUUGCGCCCCCUGGUAUUCCGGGGGGCAUGCCUGUCCGAGCGUCAUUGCUGCCCUCAAGCACGGCUUGUUUGUUGGGUCUUGUUCCCCCGGGAACAGGCCCGAAAGGCAGUGGCGGCACCGUCCGAUCCUCGAGCGUAUGGGGCUUUGUCACCCGCUCUGUAGGCCCGGCCGGCGCUUGCCGACCCAAUCAAUCUUUUUCAGGUUGACCUCGGAUCAGGUAGGGAUACCCGCUGAACUUAAGCAUAUCAAUAGUCCCGGAGGAA
rnacentral:rRNA from 1 species